GAUGAAGAACGCAGCGAAAUGCGAUACGUAAUGUGAAUUGCAGAAUUCAGUGAAUCAUCGAGUCUUUGAACGCACAUUGCGCCCUGUGGUAUUCCGCAGGGCAUGCCUGUUCGAGCGUCAUUUCAACCCUCAAGCUCUGCUUGGUGUUGGGCCCUGCCCGCUGCGGCCGGCCCUAAAGACAGUGGCGGUGCCGCCUGGCCCUGAGCGUAGUACAUCUCUCGCUCCAGUGCCCGGUGGUAGCCUGCCAGAACCCCAACUCUCGUGGUUGACCUCGGAUCAGGUAGGGAUACCCGCUGAACUUAAGCAUAUCAAUAAGCGGAGGA
rnacentral:misc_RNA from 1 species